GUUCUUGGUGCAGAGCGGGAGCGGCCGGCAGUACGCGCACUGGGGGAUCGUCAUGCAGACCGCCAUGGCCGCGCUUCUGCUGUCACUAGCCUGGUGAACGUGAAACCCAACAGAUAGAUGCAUCCAUCCAUACACUGUAUUCAUGUACCAAGUCCAUGAUUUAACCAUUACGCUUGCUUGUAAUGUUAGGGGUCCAACAUUUGUUGGAGGCUUGUAAUAAACAGUUUUUUGGCAUAUUCUUGCAUGUGUUUUGAUUAUGAAAUCGGUGAGCGAGCUUGCAGGUUGGAGCGCGGGGGCUUGAUUUGUGCAUGUUUCGGGGUGAAAUUCGUGAGCGAGGUUGGAGCACGGCGGUUCGAUUUGGUAAUCUCUGACGGCGUUCUCUGCAGGUGGCGAUGUUUGCUUGUUAGGCUGAUGGGUUGCUUGGUGUUUGUCGUUGUAGGCUGCCUGGUGACUAUGGGUUUGAUCCCCUGGGGCUCGGGAAGCAGCCUAAGGACCUGAAGUGCUACGUCCAGGCCGAGCUCGUGCACUGCCGGUUCGCCAGGGCAGGGGUUGCCGGCAUCCUAGGAACUGAUUUGAUCCGUGUAUGAGGACUCGGCAACCUACCAGUAUGGUUUGAAGCAGGUGCCACAAAAUUUGACUUCGCCAACACCACAACACUCUUCUUUGUCCAGCUUCUCUUGAUGGGCGUCAUGAUGUUGUCAACGGUGUGGCUGAGGCAGAAGGUGUAACCAAAUAUGAUGCAGGUGAAGCUGCUGUAGAUCAAAAAGAGCAAAAAGGUUCAACAACCAUGAAAUCCUAGUUGAGGGCGUGCGAGACUGGGAUAUAGCCAGUGACCGGGGGCAAGGGCAGCGUGCGCAGGGUGAUCGACGAGGACUACUGCGGCCCGAUGGGAGUCGUGCUCUUCAACUACUCGGAGGCAGACUUCACCGUGAAGCCCCGCGACCGCGUCAUACAGAUUAUCGUCCAGGUGAUUGCGACGCAGGAGGUCCCUGGGGUGGAGGACCUCGACGCCACCGUCCGGAGGUCACCAAGGUGGAGGACGACGCCACCGUCCGGAGUUCCUCAAGGUGGAGGAUCUCGACGCUUUGUACAUACAUCUAGGGAAGUGGUCUGGUUAGGUUGGUGGUGAAACGCAAGGGAAGGUACCAACCUUUUGUUGAUGGUUGUGUGUGUCCUCGUGAUCUCUUCGAGUUGAGAUGUUGAAUGUUGCAUCCAUGAACACUGCAAGUGUUAAGAUGGUUCUGUGAAAUUUAUUUUGCAUUGGACAUGUCUCUGAUC